rnacentral:rRNA from 1 species
CCCUUAGAGUUUGAUCCUGGCUCAGGAUGAACGCUGGCGGCGUGCUUAACACAUGCAAGUCGAGCGAAGCACUCUGCUUUGAUUCUUUCGGGAUGAAGAGCAUUGUGACUGAGCGGCGGACGGGUGAGUAACGCGUGGGUAACCUGCCUCAUACAGGGGGAUAACAGUUAGAAAUGGUUGCUAAUACCGCAUAAGACCACAGCACCGCAUGGUGCAGGGGUAAAAACUCCGGUGGUAUGAGAUGGACCCGCGUCUGAUUAGCUAGUUGGUGGGGUAACGGCCUACCAAGGCGACGAUCAGUAGCCGACCUGAGAGGGUGACCGGCCACAUUGGGACUGAGACACGGCCCAAACUCCUACGGGAGGCAGCAGUGGGGAAUAUUGCACAAUGGGGGAAACCCUGAUGCAGCGACGCCGCGUGAGCGAAGAAGUAUUUCGGUAUGUAGAGCUCUAUCAGCAGGGAAGA